CAAUGAAAAAUAAUAUUUGAUGAAAAGUGGGAUGAACAAUACAAAAAUUAAAUAUUGUGACGCAAUAUGAUGUAACUGAGUUGUUUAUCAAUAAUAGUGAAAAGAUUGAAUGAAUUUGGAAGAACACCAUGUACUCCUAAGUUUUCUACAGAAAGAACAAAACCAGCAAGUGGUUGAUCUUCAAGUUCCUCUUCACUUAAAUCACGGCUGCUUGUUGUUACGUACAACGUAUCUAA